rnacentral:rRNA from 1 species
AUUGAACGCUGGGGGUAUGCCUUACACAUGCAAGUCGAGCGGUAGAGGGGCAACCCUUGAGAGUGGCGAACGGGUGAGUAAUACAUCGGAACGUGCCCAGUCGUGGGGGAUAACGUAGCGAAAGCUACGCUAAUACCGCAUACGACCUGAGGGUGAAAGCGGGGGAUCGCAAGACCUCGCGCGAUUGGAGCGGCCGAUGGCAGAUUAGGUAGUUGGUGGGGUAAAGGCCUACCAAGCCUGCGAUCUGUAGCUGGUCUGAGAGGACGACCAGCCACACUGGGACUGAGACACGGCCCAGACUCCUACGGGAGGCAGCAGUGGGGAAUUUUGGACAAUGGGCGAAAGCCUGAUCCAGCCAUACCGCGUGCGGGAAGAAGGCCUUCGGGUUGUAAACCGCUUUUGUCAGGGAAGAAAUCUUCUGGGUUAAUACCUCGGGAGGAUGACGGUACCUGAAGAAUAAGCACCGGCUAACUACGUGCCAGCCGCCGCCGUAAGAC